rnacentral:rRNA from 1 species
AUUGAACGCUGGCGGAAUGCUUUACACAUGCAAGUCGAGCGGCAGCACGGGGGCAACCCUGGUGGCGAGCGGCGAACGGGUGAGUAAUACAUCGGAACAUGCCCAGUCGUGGGGGCUAACACUUCGAAAGAAGUGCUAAUACCGCAUACGUCCUGAGGGGGAAAGCGGGGGAUCGCAAGACCUCGCGCGAUUGGAGUGGCCGAUGUCAGAUUAGCUAGUUGGUGGGGUAAAGGCCUACCAAGGCAACGAUCUGUAGCUGGUCUGAGAGGAUGAUCAGCCACACUGGGACUGAGACACGGCCCAGACUCCUACGGGAGGCAGCAGUGGGGAAUUUUGGACAAUGGGGGCAACCCUGAUCCAGCCAUUCCGCGUGAGUGAAGAAGGCCUUCGGGUUGUAAAGCUCUUUCGGCAGGAACGAAACGGUGAGCUCUAACAUAGCUUGCUAAUGACGGUACCUGAAGAAGAAGCACCGGCUAACUACGUG